UACGUAGGGCGCAAGCGUUGUCCGGAAUUAUUGGGCGUAAAGAGCUCGUAGGCGGUUUGUCGCGUCUGCUGUGAAAACCUGAGGCUCAACCUCGGGCUUGCAGUGGGUACGGGCAGACUAGAGUGCGGUAGGGGUGACUGGAAUUCCUGGUGUAGCGGUGGAAUGCGCAGAUAUCAGGAGGAACACCGGUGGCGAAGGCGCUCAUCUGGCCCAAUACUGACGCUGAUGCGCGAAAGCUAGGGGAGCAAACGGG
rnacentral:rRNA from 1 species